CCUACGGGAGGCAGCAGUGGGGAAUAUUGCACAAUGGGCGAAAGCCUGAUGCAGCGACGCCGCGUGAGGGAUGACGGCCUUCGGGUUGUAAACCUCUUUCAGCAGGGACGAAGCGCAAGUGACGGUACCUGCAGAAGAAGCACCGGCUAACUACGUGCCAGCAGCCGCGGUAAUACGUAGGGUGCGAGCGUUGUCCGGAAUUAUUGGGCGUAAAGAGCUCGUAGGCGGUUUGUCGCGUCGGCCGUGAAAACCUGGGGCUUAACCCUGGGCCUGCGGUCGAUACGGGCAGACUUGAGUUCGGUAGGGGAGACUGGAAUUCCUGGUGUAGCGGUGAAAUGCGCAGAUAUCAGGAGGAACACCGGUGGCGAAGGCGGGUCUCUGGGCCGAUACUGACGCUGAGGAGCGAAAGCGUGGGGAGCGAACAGGAUUAGAUACCCUGGUAGUCCACGCCGUAAACGGUGGGUGCUAGGUGUGGGGGACGAUUCCACGUCCUCCGUGCCGUAGCUAACGCAUUAAGCCACCCGCCCGGGACGGACGGCCGCGAGACGUAAACACGAAGAAGUAGACGGCGUGAGAGUUGCGAGACGACGACGAGGAGAGG
rnacentral:rRNA from 1 species